CUGUGAACUUUCCAUUCCUUGUCCUUAUUUCUAGACAUCUCAGGGUUCUGGGGAGUUUCCUUGGUCUCCUGGCUGCUCCAGCAAUUUUGGGGCUGCACCCAGCAGGCCUAUAGGCCCUGUAUUUGCCCAUCCUCAAGACCAAAGAAAGAGCCCAGAGUUAGCAACAGACCUCAGUGGUUUCAUGGAUGGGGGAUCUUACACCUUGAAGCAAGGCCCUGGAACUGAGACAGGAGGGAAAGGAGCAGGACACAAAGGCUAGGUCAUUGAAGAGGGCACAGCUGUAGGGAGGCGAGAAAGGCCAGCCUGAACCAGCCGAAACCAAGAUGGCUUUGGGAAGAGCAGCACGGUCAUUGACCUUGAGCUCAGGAUCUCUUCAUGUGAAUGCAAACGUCACCCCCACCCCACACCCACACCUGGUUCUUAUGCCACAGCAGUUCCAAGAGAGACCAUAAAAAGCCAAGAAGUUGGCAGUGGCCCUGUUUUUUUUGUUUCAGACACCCUCACUGUUCCACAAAAUAGCAAGAAUAUUCCUCCCACUCAUUAGUGUGUAUAAUUACUUAGCCUGCAAAAACUGCUAUCAAUCAGGGCCUGCUCUCAGUUUCAGAGACAGUCUGCCUUCCACCUAUGGAAGGUGUAUCCCUCUAAAUAAACUUACCUUUGCUUUUCCUUGGCUGGCUCUUGAAUUCUUUCCCCCUGUCGAGAAGCCAAGAACCCUCACUUGGCGGUGAGUCCAUGUUAAGGACGCCUGCAGGCCCCGGGACAUGACAGCUCCCACUCCAGCCACAAAACAACAACAGUCUACCGUACCAGGCAGGCAGCAGGCGGGACAGGGCAGCUCCUGGAGGGAGGGGGAGGUUACCAGUUAGAGGGGGAAUUGACAUUGGUUGGCUCAUUGGUUACCAGGGAAACUGGCCGAGGGGCACGCUCUCACUACCCAUUUGAUCAGCAAUCAGGUGGAGAUGUUCUGAUCUAAGGGUUAGAACAAUCACUAACUGGGGUGGGGGCAAGUAUAUAGGAAAGUCAGUGGUGUGAGUAAGGUGUAGGUGAAGCAAGCACUGAUCCAGCAGGGGAUGUACAGAGACUGAGAGAGAGAAGAGCCACCUCCGGGCAGGGGGUCUGAUCACACCAUUUUAUCAAAAAUGUCAUUUUGGGCAGAGAAGAAUGGCAAUAUGGGAUCACACCUGGAAAACAGUCUUCUUCCGUGUCCUUUAAGUUACUUCUCACAGAAACCUAUUCAUGAAAUCAACUCUGACAACAUUUGAUGUGCUUAAUGCCAUGAGUGCCGCCUCCUGACACAGAAGGAGAUUCUUUCAUUUUCCAACCUAGAAUGAGGGAUGCGGAUCUGAGCAACUGACAGGGUUGGAGUUUGCUGUUGAAGAAUUGAUUUCCAACUCCCCAUGGAAAUUUGGCUCCUGAUAAACGUCCUUGAAAACUUUAGGGUGUGCAUGUGUAUUUCAAGGGCCUCUUAAGUGAAAUCAAUCUCAUCACAGCAGACGCUUUUCAUGCUGUGAGAUCCACAAGUACUCCUCAUGUUGAACACAGUGAACUGCUGUGCAGGGACUUCUCAAAACAUGGGGAGAACAAACCUUUGCUCCCCAUCCUGCUUUUUCCUUUCCGUGCAUCCAAACAGCCCAGGAGGAUGUUCUCAAAGCUGAUUACUGUUGCCAGGGCAACUCGAGAUUGAUCCUUCACUCUAGUAAGCUCAACGGAUCCCCCUGAGGAUUGGAGAGUGUGAUUGGUGACAGCUGUUUGGGUGGGCGGGGAGGCUGUUUUGUUUUGUUUUUAUCAUUCGCACUAUCUGUUCCCAGCUCCAGAGAGUCAAACUUUAAGCUCUGGAGAAAUUCUCAAUUUGUUAAUGACUGUAGAUGGACUGAAAAGAAGAGGCCUCUGGGAUUAUAGGGGAAGACCUCAGUGGAAGAAACUUAACUUCCCAGGAUGGGGAAAGGGGAGGAGUUGGGAAGAAAAGAAGAGAUGGGAAACAAUUGUUAUUCCGCUGCUAAAGGGCCAAGAAGUCAAUCCUUUCAUCCAUUUGCCACCUAGGAAGAUGUAGAAAGGUAGGGGAGGAGAGAUGGGUGCUGCUGAGAUCAAUUGGAGUUCCCCAAAAAUAUGAAAGAGAAGAGGUUCUUUUCACUGAGUAUCUUGGACAAAGCCUUAAGGCAGACAGAACAAGGAAAUGUAUUAGUACCCCUGUCCCAGAAUUAACGGCAUUGCCAGUGUCACAAAUCUCUUAUCUCCCAGCUUAGACUCAGAGAUGAUCAAACCCUGCUAGAGAUUUAGUUUGUGCUUUCAGGAUAGCAGUCACUGUCACAUCUUUAUAUACUAUUGUGCUUCAAAGCCCUCCAAGAGCGUGUUUCUAUUACUCCAGCCUGCCUUCAAGAAGGAAAAAAAAAAAAUCGAAGGAGCAGAUUGUGAAGCAUUCCAGAGAGAAGAGAUUUGGCAAGUCAUCCUAUUUAAAAAAAUGUGUUAUCAAAAAUACUCAUUUGCCUUUCACCUAUUAAUUGUUUUCUGAUGAGCAGGGGUGGAAUGAACUCCAGGUUCACGAUUAGAUUUCCAGAGAUGAAAGCUCAGGCUCCAGUAUUAAUACUCUAAACAGUUCAUUGAACCUCUCUGAGCCUCCGUUUUAAUUUUUAUCACUCCUAAAAUGGGAAGCAUGUCAUUGUUAGAAAAGGCUUAUGAUGAGAAUUAAAUGUUAAGUGCCUAGCCGGUUACAAGCAAUUAGAAAAGUCCCUAUUAUUUUCUGUUAGAUCUAGCAACUCCCAAACAUGAAACUAUUAUGUUCAGAGGACAUAACAACAGAUUCCUGAAC
ensembl:lncRNA